rnacentral:rRNA from 1 species
UACGUAGGGUCCAAGCGUUAUCCGGAAUCACUGGGCGUAAAGCGUCCGCAGCCGGCGCGUUAAGUGUAAUGUUAAAUCGUGGGCUCAACCCUGUCGGUGCACUACAUACUGGCGUGCUAGAGGAAAUCAGAGGCAAGUGGAAUUUGUAGUGUAGCAGUGAAAUGCGUAGAUAUUACAAGGAACACCAAUGGCGAAGGCAGCUUGCUGGGAUUUUUCUGACGGUCAUGGACGAAAGCGUGGGGAGCGAACAGG